rnacentral:lncRNA from 1 species
UUUUUAUUUAUGAAUUUAGCUGAUUGUUUAGCACAGUCUAGUAAAAUUGAAUUAAAUGACUCGGUAAUCGAGUCACUGUCAUUAAAGCUUUUGGCUAUAAAAUUUGCCAAUUUAUUUUUAAACAUUUGACUUUGUAUAUUUUCUGUGUAUGAAGCAAUUGCUUCAUCAGUCCAAAGAAAUUUACCCGGCAAAGAGUCUAGUUGGUGUGAAUCACACGGCACUGAUAAAAAAUUAGCAAACAUUGCACAACUA